UACGUAGGGUGCAAGCGUUAAUCGAAAUUACUGGGCGUAAAGCGCACGUAGGCGGAUUGUUAAGUCGGGGGUGAAAUCCUGGAGCUCAACUCCAGAACUGCCUUCGAUACUGGCGAUCUCGAGUUCGGGAGAGGUGAGUGGAACUGCGGAAGUGUAGAGGUGAAAUUCGUAGAUAUUCGCAAGAACACCAGUGGCGAAGGCGGCUCACUGGCCCAUUACUGACGCUGAGGCACGAAAGCGUGGGGAGCAAACAGG
rnacentral:rRNA from 1 species